rnacentral:tRNA from 1 species
GUCGCAUUGGUGAAGCGGUCUUAACACACUCGGCUUUCUACCGAGCAUACGCAGGUUCGAAUCCUGUAUGCGAUAUCA